GCCAGGGUGGCAUAGUGGUUAGCGCAUCUGCCUGGUGAGUAGGAGACCCGGAUUCGAAUCCCGGCGUUGGUA